rnacentral:rRNA from 1 species
UGGCGGACGGGUGAGUAAUGUCUGGGAAACUGCCCGAUGGAGGGGGAUAACUACUGGAAACGGUAGCUAAUACCGCAUAACGUCGCAAGACCAAAGAGGGGGACCUUGGGCCUCUUGCCAUCGGAUGUGCCCAGAUGGGAUUAGCUAGUAGGUGGGGUAACGGCUCACCUAGGCGACGAUCCCUAGCUGGUCUGAGAGGAUGACCAGCCACACUGGAACUGAGACACGGCCAG